GACGUAGGGGGCGAGCGUUGUCCGGAUUUAUUGGGCGUAAAGGGUGCGUAGGUGGCGUCGUAAGUCGGGUGUGAAAUUUCGGAGCUUAACUCCGAAACUGCAUUCGAUACUGCGGUGCUUGAGGACUGGAGAGGAGACUGGAAUUUACGGUGUAGCAGUGAAAUGCGUAGAGAUCGUAAGGAAGACCAGUGGCGAAGGCGGGUCUCUGGACAGUUCCUGACACUGAGGCACGAAGGCCAGGGGAGCAAACGGG
rnacentral:rRNA from 1 species